AGCUCGAAGUCUUUUAUUUUGGGUGAUUUCUGCCCAAUGAAAUAUUUAAUGGCCGCAGUACUUUGACUGUGCUAAGGUAGCAUAAUAAAUUGACUUUUAAUUGAAGUCUGGAAUGAAAGGAAUUUUGGGAAAAAACUGUCUUUUUCCGGCUCUGCAGAAGUUACUUAAAAGGUGAAAAUACCUUUGUAAAGAAAAAAGACGAGAAGACCCUAGGAAUUUAAUUUGAAUUUUGUUGGGGCGACAAAUUAGCAAUCUUAACCUAUUUUUUUACUUUUUUACAAACCUAAUUUUUUAAAGGAGGAAAAAUUACCCUAGGGAUAACAGCACUAUUUCAAUUGAAGAUUGUGACCUCGAUGUUGGACUAGGAAUUUAAUAAAUAAGUAAUUAAAAUAAAAAGUUCUGUUCGAACUGUAGUUUCCU
rnacentral:rRNA from 1 species